rnacentral:lncRNA from 1 species
AGGUGACAGACCACCAAUUAAAAAUCCCUAUCUGUUCAACCAAAUUUUGCAAUUUUCACAGCUUUCUAAAUAUUUUACCUUAAGUUUAACAUCAUAGAAACCAGGUAUAUCCUUAAUUGUACAUGUAUCAGCUUUCUGCAUGCCAAUUUUCACCAUACCUUUAAAGCCUUCUAACAAAAUAACUGACCAUCAAACAGAGGUACUCCAAAACAAAAACCUGGUUUUCUGGAAAUCUAAAAUUAGUAUACUAUGGAGCGCAUUAAUCCUCAAUUUUUAAUGC